rnacentral:rRNA from 1 species
AUGAACGCUGGCGGCGUGCCUAAUACAUGCAAGUCGAGCGAACAGACGAGGAGCUUGCUCCUCUGACGUUAUCGGCGGACGGGUGAGUAACACGUGGAUAACCUACCUAUAAGACUGGGAUAACUUCGGGAAACCGGAGCUAAUACCGGAUAAUAUAUUUAACCGCAUGGUUCAAUAGUGAAAGACGGUUUUGCUGUCACUUAUAGAUGGAUCCGCGCCGCAUUAGCUAGUUGGUAAGGUAACGGCUUACCAAGGCAACGAUGCGUAGCCGACCUGAGAGGGGGGUUGGCCCACAGUGAAACUGAGCAACGUCCAGGAUACUUAGGGAAGGCGCAGGCAGGGAAUGUACGCAACUGGGGGAAAGCUUGCGGAAGAAACGCGAGUGGGGUGAUGAAGGUCUUCGGUCGGUAAAACUCUGUAUUAGGGAAGAACAAAUGUGUAAGUAACUAUGCACGUCUUGACGGUACCUAAUCAGAAAGCCACGGCUAACUACGUG